CCUACGGGAGGCAGCAGUGAGGAAUAUUGGUCAAUGGACGAGAGUCUGAACCAGCCAAGUAGCGUGAAGGAUGACUGCCCUAUGGGUUGUAAACUUCUUUUAUAUGGGAAUAAAACGUUCCACGUGUGGGAUUUUGUAUGUACCAUAUGAAUAAGGAUCGGCUAACUCCGUGCCAGCAGCCGCGGUAAUACGGAGGAUCCGAGCGUUAUCCGGAUUUAUUGGGUUUAAAGGGAGCGUAGGUGGAUUGUUAAGUCAGUUGUGAAAGUUUGCGGCUUAACCGUAAAAUUGCAGUUGAGACUGGCAGUCUUGAGUACAGUAGAGGUGGGCGGAAUUCGUGGUGUAGCGGUGAAAUGCUUAGAUAUCACGAAGAACUCCGAUUGCGAAGGCAGUUCACUGGACUGCAACUGACACUGAGGCUCGAAAGUGUGGGUAUCAAACAGGAUUAGAUACCCUAGUAGUC
rnacentral:rRNA from 1 species